AUUGAACGCUGGCGGCAUGCUUUACACAUGCAAGUCGAGCGGCAGCGCGGGGGCAACCCUGGCGGCGAGCGGCGAACGGGUGAGUAAUGCAUCGGAACGUACCCUGGAGUGGGGGGAUAACGCCGCGAAAGCGGCGCUAAUACCGCAUAUGCUCUGAGGAGGAAAGUGGGGGACCGCAAGGCCUCACGCUCUGGGAGCGGCCGAUGUCCGAUUAGCUAGUUGGUGGGGUAAAGGCUUACCAAGGCGACGAUCGGUAGCUGGUCUGAGAGGAUGAUCAGCCACACUGGGACUGAGACACGGCCCAGACUCCUACGGGAGGCAGCAGUGGGGAAUUUUGGACAAUGGGCGCAAGCCUGAUCCAGCCAUUCCGCGUGCAGGAUGAAGGCCUCGGGUUGUAAACUGCUUUGUACGGUAACGAAACGGUACGUGCCCUAAUACGGCGGGCGUAAUGACGGUACCGUAAGAA
rnacentral:rRNA from 1 species